rnacentral:rRNA from 1 species
UACAGAGGGUGCGAGCGUUGUUCGGAAUUACUGGGCGUAAAGCGCGCGCAGGCGGCCUUUUAAGUCUGACGGUGAAAUGCCGGGGCUCAACCCCGUGCCCGCCGCGGAUACUGGGAGGCUGGAGACAUGUAGAGGCAAGCGGAAUUCCGGGUGUAGCGGUGGAAUGCGUAGAGAUCCGGAAGAACACCGGAGGCGAAGGCGGCUUGCUGGGCAUGGUCUGACGCUGAGGCGCGAAAGCGUGGGGAGCGAACAGG